ensembl:lncRNA
GGGCAUAGAGACUUGCCUUUUCUCAGCUGGGCAUGAGCCUGAUGCUGCUAGUGGCCUGCCUGGCUAUUACAAAAAAAAAUUUUUUUUUGAGACGGAGUUUCGCUCUUGUUACCCAGGCUGGAGUGAGACUCCAUCUCAAAAAAAAAAAAAAAAAAAAAAAAAAAGAAGAAACUGGGGCCCACCCUCCGUGGAGUCCCCUGUGGAACAGCCUCUUCAAGGGUCUCAUCCCCACCUCAGCAGCUUCUCAAAGCUAUGCUUUCAAACCCACAUGUUUCUCCCAGGGACAUUUUAGCAGUGCUUAGACAUUGGUGCCUUAGAUACCUUCUGACUCUGUCCCCUUCAUCUAGUUCAAGGGUCAACAGGAGACCCCUAAAACUCAGGGACUGGGACCAAAAUGCUGAGUAGGUUGCCUGAGGCCACACAGCCUGGAGUUGACCUCAGCUCCUUCUGACGCAAUGUGUGGUCUGGGACCAGCACUAACAUAGCUGGGAAUAUUAUUAGAAAUGCAGAAUCCUGGGCCCCACCCCAGACCUACUGAGUCAGAAUCUGCAUUUUAACAAAUCUCCAAGUGACCCAUAUGCACACUGAAGCUUGAAAAGUAGUGCUGCUGGCCAAACAAAAAGAAGAAAAAUGCCAGAAAACUAACUUUGGUUGGAUUGAAACAAGGACAUUAGAAAGAGUUAUUGUUUCUCUUCUACACAUUCCAAAAUGUGGUUAUAUUACUUUUGUAAUGAAGAAAAAAAAAAAAACGCUUAAAAUUUAAGAAAAUCUGAGACACAAAAUUACACAAUGUCAUAAAACUAGUAAAUUAUGAAGUGGUUAUGUGCAUUUAAAAGCAGGUCCCAUUUACAGUCUGUUAUUGCUUUUUGCUUCAAUUGUUCUUUCUUGCUUUCUUAUUUCUCCUCCCUUCCUCUCUUCCUACCCCUGCCUUCUUCCUUUCUUUUAAAAGUGCCCCAAAGAUGGAAACAGAGGUACUUUUGAAGGCAGGCUCGGGCCUCACCCCCUUGGGAAUGGCUGGUGCAGGGAAGGGCAUCUUCUGUCUGCAAAGGGAGCAUAUUAUAAUACAGGUCUUACCAAAAGUGAAUAGGGGUGAACAUUUCCAUGUUUACUGAAAUAAAAAACAAUAAAUGAUUCAAGUGUUAAGCGUGAUUUGUGCCUUACCUUUUCUCGCUGGUGAUCUCCCUUCAUUAAUUUUUUUUCUGUCUACACAGGAUGAAGUCCCCUUCCUUUUCCCAAAUUUCUCAAGGUUUUUAAGCCCCCAAACUGCUGACUUCAGACUUGGCCUCUUUGCCUAGUUUACUCUUACUCGUCCUUCAGCACUUGGCAUGAAUGUCACUUCUCAGGGAAGCUUUCCAAAACCCUUUAGUCCUGUAUCAGGCACAGCUCUUGAUUGCAAGUGGUGGAAAAACAAACUUAAAGUGACUGAAGUCAAAAAGGGGUGACUGUUGGUUCACAUAAUGGAAAAGCCCAGCUAGUAUCUGGCUUCAGGUAUAGUUAGAUCUAGGAUCUCAAAUGACAUUGCCAGAAACUGCUUAAUGACAAAUCUCUCACCUUUCCUCUGUGAGGCGCCAGCCUUAAGCAAGCUCUCCCCUGGGACUCCUAAGUAAGCUCCAGAUAGUUGAGCUUCCAGCUUAGAAACCCCAGUUGAAAGAGAAC